UUCAAGCAGAGAGGAGGGUUGUGUAAUACACCGAAUCGUCGCCACGAAAAAAAUCAGCCACGAGAGACGAUGAUGAAAUUGUGUGCUCUCCUACGACUAAAGUUUGAAAACUUUGGCGAUGCCUCAGUGAAUUUUCUUUGCUACAGUGCCCAAAGGUUGGCUGCCCAGACUACCCUUGCUGUGUGACCGAAAUCUGCAAAUAUCAAGGGGCAUUACUCGUCAACAGCACCGAGGAAAUGUUGUAGUCUGUUGACUCAGCAUUCUUUGAAUUUUUCGUCCAAGCCUUGCCUCACAUGCCCGUGCCCAGGUGGUGAACCCCGGACUUACCAGGGUUUGCGGAUGUAUCUCGAUAUAGUUGGGAACUUCUCUUUCAGGAUGAAAAUGUUUGUGUCACUCCACAGCCCCGCUAAAGGCCAAAACUAAGGCUGGACGUUGGUAGAUAUGUGAGUAACUUUAGUGAACUCAGUAUAGAGUGAUGUUUCAUUGGUUUUUCAACUGAACUAGACUAAAAUAAACCCUGUGGACUUGUGGACUCAUGUGUGUCAAAUGAUCUGAAUGACGAUUUGGAGUUGGAGGCCAUACUGCACAAAAAAGAAGCUUGGUGCCAGACAACACCAGAAGGAGAACUACCUUUGAUAAUACCGGUAUGCCAUGCUUGGAGAGGGACGUGCAACCUCAAGAUGGGACCUCUCGGGAUGAUGUUGAGUGAUUGGGACCAGGGCGAACUGGUGACGACCCCUGACUCUGCUUGAGUUGCUUGCCAUUGUGAAAUGAGCUCAGGGAUGCUGCUCCAAGACCGUUUCUACAUCUAACGGGACGUAGUUCUGGAACGCCACUUACACAGCAGGAGGUCUUGGCUUGCCCCCGUCACAUCUUUCAAGCCGUUAAGGUUCCUGACGACUACACACCGAUGACAUCAGUGGCCAAACGCCGAGGUUUUCUACCCCCUUUGACCUGGGCUUACAUGUACUUCGUGGAUGCGCUAAUGUGCGCUUACAAUUAGCAUUCUAUGCUUACAUCGCUUGCACAUAUCCUAUACAAGCUGAGUAAGCUGAAAAUCUUUGCUUGGGAUACGUCAAUGUGCUUACCCAAAUGUCCCUGCUAACCAACUCAAAAAUACUUUUUAAAAAUGAUUUUUAACUACUUUGUACGGAUAUCGUGGGAACAGGCUGCCAAAACAAAUUACUCUUUAAAUGUGACACUGGCAGAAAACUGAACUGAAGACCAAUUUGGUAGGCAACUGUUUGGAGUGGAUUUUUUUUACCAUUCUGUUGAAGCAAAGUUGGUAUUGAUUGUUGAGUGUUUUAAAAAAAAACACUCUUACAGAUUAAAUUAAUUUUACUUUUUGAGAGGGUAUGCGAAACAACCGCGAGUACUUUUUGGCUCUUUGGCAGGAAAUAAUACUCUAUUUAUUCUAAGUAUUCUGCUGUGGCUAACGGACAGUCCUCAUACAGGUUGUCUCUGCUUGAAAAAAAUCCAAUCAUUCCCGAAACUUCCACGAUGCUCUGUAACAGUUGAGCAGGGGCAUUUUUAACGACUCCUCAACAUGUCGAUCAAACAUUCAUCAGGUACUCUGCUUUUUGAGACAAAGGCCAUUAUUUUGUACAAGUUCCAAUGUGAAGAGAAUAAUGGAUCAAGCUACAAAUGCGGCUGAAGUUUCCAUUCGAAAACACCAGCAAUGCAUGUAGAUAAUUUUCCGAAGGUCGUGAUGACAUUUUAAUUUUAUUUUUCAAAUCACUUGGCCUUAGACUUUCAGAACCUUUCAAGACGGCUCAAAAUUGAUAAUAAAAUUGCAUUUUGAAGACUGAA